rnacentral:rRNA from 1 species
GACGAACGCUGGCGGCGUGCUUAACACAUGCAAGUCGAACGGAAAGGCCCUGCUUUUGUGGGGUGCUCGAGUGGCGAACGGGUGAGUAACACGUGAGUAACCUGCCCUUGACUUUGGGAUAACUUCAGGAAACUGGGGCUAAUACCGGAUAGGAGCUCCUGCUGCUUGGUGGGGGUUGGAAAGUUUCGGCGGUUGGGGAUGGACUCGCGGCUUAUCAGAUUGUUGGUGGGGUAGUGGCUUACCAAGGCUUUGACGGGUAGCCGGCCUGAGAGGGUGACCGGCCAAAUUGGGACUGAGAUACGACCCAGACUCCUACGGGAGGCAGGAGUGGGGAGUAUUACACAAUGGGCGGAAGCCUGAUGCAGCAACGCCGCGUGCGGGAUGACGGCCUUCGGGUAGUAAACCGAUUUCGCCUGUGACGAAGCGUGAGUGACGGUAAUGGGUAAAGAAGCACCGGCUAACUACGUG